UACGGAAGGGGCUAGCGUUGUUCGGAAUCACUGGGCGUAAAGCGCGCGUAGGCGGCCGGUCAAGUGCGGCGUGAAAGUCCUGGGCUCAACCCGGGGACGGCGCUGCGGACUGUCCGGCUGGAGUCCGGAAGAGGGUGGUGGAAUUCCGAGUGUAGAGGUGAAAUUCGUAGAUAUUCGGAGGAACACCGGUGGCGAAAGCGGCUCUCUGGCCCGGUUCUGACGCUGAGGCGCGAAAGCGUGGGGAGCAAGCAGG
rnacentral:rRNA from 1 species